UUUGGGGUAGCUCAGGUGGCAGAGCUGCUGGUCUAGGAAUCCGAGGGUUCCUGGUUUGAUCCCCGGCUCCUCCA